UUUCUGAUCUUCGUCUUCUCUGUCGCUCCUCUUCUUUAUUUCCCAAUUCCUUUUUUUCUCUUUCUUUUUCGUACAGAAUCUUUGCUCUCUCUUCUUCAAGUUCCUUCAGCUGAGUUAGUGCUUCGAUUUCGGUUUAAACAAUUACUUCACCUGAUUUAGGGUUCUUCUUCAAAAUUCACAUGAUUGAACCAUUAAGUUUGGGCAGAAAGUUAUUCAUCUCUACAAGUCGUCAAUGAACGACAUCAAAGAGUUCAAAGACAAGAGAAAAGAAGCAGAGGUACAGGUGAAGGCUCAAAAUUGUACUGCAGAAUUCGGACUCAAAAUGAUGCCACUUUAUUCCGUUUCUUAUGCGGAAUUUGAUUAUAGUGGUGUUAGAUCAAUUAGCUAUUCUUAUCCGAACAAUCACAUUGAUCAAUUGCUUAAACUAGAGGAUGUUGGUGCAACUGUAAUUGAGAGAAUGACUUAACCAAAGGGUAUCAUAAUCUAAGCCAUCAUUGCAUUUUCAUCAUUUUCAACGUCUUCUUUUUAAUUAGAGUACCUGUAAUUUUUCCAUUGAUGGUGAGGAUUUGAUUGGUAUAGCUCUCUCGAACAUGACUGUAGCAAUGACAUUGGAGUGUGAAGUCUUAGUCCUCUAAGAAGUAACCCAAUGAAAAAUGGAAGGAGUUCCGGUAUACGUCAAGGUGUAAUGACAAUGUUGCUCCCUUUGUAGCCAUUCAUAGUAAUGCACUAAUGGAGAGAGGUUAUUUGUUACUGCAAGAAGUGAUGAGGAAAUGGACUUAUGCAGUUGUACAUCUGAAGGAGGAGCUAUCUUAUGGAUAUCUUGGUUUUGUGAAAUAAAUCCCUACGAGACUUUGGCUGCGGGGCACUUGGUUUUUGGAAGAUUUAGAGUGGUAAUCAGUGUUAGGCUAAUUUGAGAGGCAAAAUCUUCAAUUGUCAUUUUACUUUUUACUUCUCUAAUUUUUUUUCUCUGAUGUUUUCAUCUUCAAAUGUCGAUGCCAAAGUAUGUAAUAUGUUGAGAGCCACGAUUAGGUGUGAUGGUGCAGUUUUGUGUAGAGAUGACAUCUCAUGGGGUCCAACCUUCGUCAAUUAGGCCGAUGUACAAGCUUACAUUCAAUGUUAAGUUGUAUUCUUUAGAUGA